GAUGAACGCUGGCGGCGUGCCUAAUACAUGCAAGUCGAGCGAACGGAUAAGGAGCUUGCUCCUUUGAAGUUAGCGGCGGACGGGUGAGUAACACGUGGGUAACCUACCUAUAAGACUGGAAUAACUUCGGGAAACCGGAGCUAAUGCCGGAUAACAUUUGGAACUGCAUGGUUCUAAAGUAAAAGAUGGUUUUGCUAUCACUUAUAGAUGGACCCGCGCCGUAUUAGCUAGUUGGUAAGGUAACGGCUUACCAAGGCAACGAUACGUAGCCGACCUGAGAGGGUGAUCGGCCACACUGGAACUGAGACACGGUCCAGACCCCUACGGGAGGCAGCAGUAGGGAAUCCUCCGCAAUGGACGAAAGUCUGAUGGAGCAACGCCGCGUGAGUGAUGAAGAUUUUCGGAUCGUAAAACUCUGUUAUUAGGGAAGAACAAAUGUGUAAGUAACUGUGCACAUCUUGACGGUACCUAAUCAGAAAGCCACGGCUAACUACGUGCCAGCCGCCGCGGUAA
rnacentral:rRNA from 1 species